rnacentral:lncRNA from 1 species
AUGUUAUAUUUUUCCGAGUUUGUGAAGCCGCAUGUUAUAGGUUGUCCGGGUUUUGUGAAGCCGCAUGGUGAGUGUUCCGGGUUUGGUAGUCUUCCGAGUUUGUGUGUUUAAAUCCGCAUGUUAUGAGCUCAAUUCCGCAUGUUAUAUUUUCAUUGCGUACGCAUAGUACGUUAAGGUCAAUUGUACGUUAACCAACCCCAAUAUAUAUACUUGAAAGUAACUAUUACAAUCCAGCAUUAGAUGUCAUGUCAUGCGGCAUGGCUUGCAAGUUAAAGACAACCUAUCAUUAUUAUGGUAAUAAGCUGAUUCAUACAAUAAGAUACCGUAAUCUAUGCAGUUAUAGCGGUAAUCAAAUAUCGGUUAAGGCCGAUGUUUGAGAUAUAGGCUAUUGCACCGGGGGGGGGGGGGGGGGGAGGAUCGCCAAUUUUAAUAUCAUGCAUAAUUUAUAUAGCAUAAAGUAUAUAUAUACAUAUAAUAUUAAUGGUAAUAUCAAAAGUCAAAAGUUUAUUUUUAUAUACGUUUUAUGUAGGUAUACGUUUUGACGUAAAUUAAAAAGAAAAACACUAUUUUCUCAUAUCCUUAUUUUUAUGGAUGUGUCAAUAUAAGUCCGUAUUUCGAUGUAAACGAUAUUAAUACAUAUUUCCACGUAAUAUGUUUAGAAGCGAGUAGGAUUUCACAUUCGGUAUUUAUAAUCGGAUUUCACAUUCAAAUUCCAAAACAGUUCAAUACAACGAUAUAACAAUAAUAUAAAUGUCACGUAAUAAUAAAUUUUAAAUCUCCAACUAGGUAGAGAAAAACAAAAUUUGUGCACAUAAGUUGUUUUAAAUUCAGUACCAUAAGUUGUUUUAAAUUCAAAUUCCGUACCUCAACGUCUUUUCCAUGAAGUGGAGAUAACCUAACGUCAGAUUAGUCAAAUAUUAGUUUUAUAGAUUUUAUUUUUAUUUUUAUUUUUUGUGGUGACUCAUGUGUUUCCAAUAUCCGAUGUGGUUCAGUAUGAAAAAUCUUUUUUUUUUAUUUUAUAAGACAAAUAAACUCCGUUACGGAAUUAUAAAAAUUUACAAAAACAAAGAUUUAAAUUAUUAAAAUAUUGUUCUGCAAUAGAAAGAACUACUUAGGUUGGAUUACUUAUAUAAUAUUAUAUUAAUAAUAACACAUUCAUAACUAUAAAGUGGGUAGUAAAUAAAAUGAUUAAUUUGACUCUAA